rnacentral:rRNA from 1 species
GACGAACGCUGGCGGCGUGCUUAACACAUGCAAGUCGAACGGAAAGGCCCCUUUGGGGGUACUCGAGUGGCGAACGGGUGAGUAACACGUGAGUAACCUGCCCUUGACUUCGGGAUAACUUCAGGAAACUGGGGCUAAUACCGGAUAGGAAUCCUUGCUGCAUGGUGGGGGUUGGAAAGCUUCGGCGGUUUUGGAUGGACUCGCGGCUGAUCAGCUUGUUGGUGGGGUAGUGGCUUACCAAGGCUUUGACGGGUAGCCGGCCUGAGAGGGCGACCGGCCACAGUGAGACUGAGAUACGGCCCAGACUCCGACGGGAGGCAGCAGUGGGGAAUAUUGCACAAUGGGCGGAAGCCUGAUGCAGCAACGCCGCGUGCGGGAUGACGGCCUUCGGGUUGUAAACCGCAUUCAGCAGGGGCGAAGCUUGUGGUGACGGUACCUGCAGAAGAAGCACCGGCUAACUACGUG